GCCGCGGUGGCACAACCCGGUACUGCGCAGGAUUGCUAAUCCUGUUUCCUUCGGGAUAUCCCGGUUCAAAUCCGGGCCGCGGCG
rnacentral:tRNA from 1 species